rnacentral:rRNA from 1 species
AGAGUUUGAUCCUGGCUCAGGNUAAACGCUGGCGGCGCACAUAAGACAUGCAAGUCGAACGAACGGAAGCUAUUUGUUUACAAAUAGUGGAAGUUAGUGGCGGACUGGUGAGUAACACGUAAGCAACCUGGCUAUUAGAGGGGAAUAACAGUGAGAAAUCAUUGCUAAUACCGCAUAUGCUGUGAGGAUCGCAUGAUCUAAACAGGAAAGGAGAAAUUCGCUAAUAGAUGGGCUUGCGACUGAUUAGCUAGUUGGUGGGGUAAAGGCCUACCAAGGCGACGAUCAGUAGCCGAACUGAGAGGUUGAACGGCCACAUUGGGACUGAGAUACGGCCCAGACUCCUACGGGAGGCAGCAGUCGGGAAUAUUGCGCAAUGGAGGAAACUCUGACGCAGUGACGCCGCGUAUAGGAAGAAGUUUUUCGGAAUGUAAACUAUUGUCGUUAGGGAAGAGAAUGGACAGUACCUAAGGAGGAGGCUCCGGCUAACUAUGUGCCAGCCGCCGCGGU